rnacentral:sRNA from 2 species
AAGCAUGACCUUCCUUAUAAAUACUGCCUAUUUUUCAUGUAAUUAGUGGAGUUAUAAUAAGCAAUUCAAUUGUUCUAUCGAUAUUCAGUAUUUGGGGCAAUAUUCGGACUUUAUUAGUUCCGACAAAACAUAUUUAUUUACAACAAAAGAACUCGCCAGCUCUCCUUUAUCAUAGUAGGGUUACACGAAGAAAUCCGCACCAAGAGAACAGAUAUCGGUGUAGCAAUCGUAUGUACAGGGAAAAAAAGGAGCAGACACUCCCAGCAAGAAUAUAUCUAUGCUUUAAAUACAGAUACAUAUAAAAACAGGGGAAAAGGGAAAAAAAAGUUGCGUCGCAGGAAAUACGUGUGAAUGGAACCAAGUAGGUCUUGAAGGGCGAUAAAGCUGAAAAAGUCUUUCUUGGGUGAUCGACCAUGUUGAUGACGCAGUUCUGGUUUCUUGCUUCCUUGUUUCCCUCUUCGUCUACUUCCCCCGUCCCUCGUUAAUAUGGUGGAAUCGCGGGAAACGGAGAAGACCAAGCGAUAUCAUUCACGGAACUGGCAUGCAGGGCGUUUCGCCGAUUGUCUUAGUUCAUUUGU